AUGAGACAGUCUGCAACAUCAAGUCAGAUGCAGGGAAAUUCCUUAAAAAACAAACAAACAAACAAACAAACAAAACAAGAUUCAUAACUCCAGGAAGAAGUAGUACAGGUGUGAGUAAGGAGAUUACAAAGAUGAGUCCAAAUAUAAAACUGUUUCAGGGUGCUGAACAGUCACAAAAUGAUCCAGAUGUAUGCAGUUCAAAUCCUUGUCCUACUGAGGGAAGCCCUAGGGAAGUGGGUGACAGGGCUAGAGUAGAUCCACUUCCUCCAGUGCAAACUUGGAUGAGGCUGCCCAAGCUGGUACCAGUUCGCUGCAGGUAAUGGUGGAUCACCUGUUAUCACUGUAGAGGUGAAGCAAGAAGAGGACAUUAAGCCAUCUCUCACCCUGGUUUCAAAUCCUCAACUCAGUGAUACUUUAGAGCAAACAGAAGAGCAUGAAUUGAUGCAUGAUGUGGAAGGAUCCAUGUCUCCAUCUCUUUCUUUUGUUGAUGUGAGAAUGACAUCAUCUCCAUCUUCUGUCCCAAGGAGAGAUGAUGUUUUUCAUCAGGAAAAUGGAGAACAUUUAGGUCACUGUUAAGAUGUGACCCUCAGGUCCUGCAAAUGUUAAAAGAGGAACAUCAGAUAAUUUUAGAAAAUCAAAAGAAUUCUAGAUUGUAUGUUCAGGAGAAGAGGGAUGGAUUGAAAAGAAGGCAGCGGCUCAAGGAGGAGCUGCUAAGAGCAAAGAUUGACGUAGAGAAGCUGAAAGCAACUCGCUUGCAGCACUAUCUGCCAGAAUACAGUAGUCUCUAAGAUGCUACCAGUCUUGGAACUGGAUAAUUUUAAUUUUGUCAGAAUUAUUUUAAUUUUGGAGUAUCAUGAAUCUCAGCACACGUCCUUUAAAAAUGUUCAUCUCUCUUACAAAAAUAAACUUUUGACAUGAUUAUCUUCUUUUCUUAACCUUCCUUGUUUAUUUUCCUGAGACAGGGUUUCUCUGUGUAGUCCUGGCUGUCUUGAAACUAGCUCUGUAGAAUAGGCUUGAACCUAUUUUUUUAAGCACAAUUUUCUAAGUAUUUAAUUUUCUCUUUAAAUACUAUAAUACAUUGAUUGACUGACAUGGUAACCCAGUUUGUUGCCUUCCCUCAAUUUUUUUCUAAGACAUUUAACUGUUGGCCUCACGCAAGAUAUUUAUUUUGAUUAUAAAAAAUAAUGCAAAUAGAGUUGCAUCUACUGCAUAAGCCUGUAACCUCAGCACUUGGGAGGAAGAGGCAGAUGAGAAGAAGAUGAGGGCCAGCCUUGACUAGAUUCCAAUUUCAAGGUCAUCUUGUGCUAUGUGAAAUCCUGUGUUGAAUAACAAAAUUCACAAAAUUGUAUAAAUGUAUACAUAUUACUUCAAAGAACUUAAUCUUUAACAGUUUUAGUUACGACUUUAAAAGUUAGAGUUAAAAGAGAAAGGAGGAGAGUGUUGGAAGCUACUACCUAAUGAAAGGUAAGCACAUACUUAUUACUGUUGAGCUACAUCCAUCCCUAUUCCUAGUUUUUCUUUUUUGUAGACAAGAUCUCACUAUGUAGCCCAGGUUGGCCUUUAAUAUAAGUUCCCCCUGCCCCAGCCUUCUGAAUACUGAGAUUAUGUUUCUAUGAAACUAACAGUAACAAAAAAUUUGUAUGCAUGACAUUGGCAUCGUCCUUAUCUUUUGAAAGAGUGGUGGUGGAUCUUAGAGUUGGAAGAUAUUUGGAAAACUCUUCAGUUUAGAAGUAAUAAAACUGAGGUCCAGGGAGGGUACCAUAAUAUAUUCCAGGUAUCAAAGCUUUUUAUGGCAGAGUAAGUUAUGAGUACUUAGUUUUGGGGGGGGUGGGGGAGGGGUGGGGGUGAUGGUAAUUUUUAUUCCUUAUUUAUUCUAUAGAAAUAAGAUAUAGGAGAAUUUAUUUAAUUAAAACCACCUUUUGGUUGGAGAUGUAGCUCAAGAGUAGAACACUUCCUCACCAUCCCCUGGUGACAAAGAAAACUGACUUUUAUAUAUUGUUGGGUUAUGAAGCCCAGGGAAUUGUAUCUCCCCCAUGCUCCCCUCUUUUUUGUUCUUCUAAAAGAGAUCAGGUAUUUUUAUUGAAAAUAUUACAUAUUUUUACCUUGUGAGUAAGAUUAUCUUAAUUCAUUUUAAAUGUCUUUCUGGGAAAUACUUCCUUCAUAGUAAACUUAGAUUAAAACAAAAUGAAAAUUACUUAGAAUGAAAAUAGCAAAGAUCAUGUUCACAUAACUAUAACUUGUAGAUUUUUUAAAGAAUGAUUAUUUUGUAAAUAUUGUAGUUAGUAUUCAUGGAAAUAAAGUCUUUAUAAAG